ACGACACGAUUAAUAUUAAAUUGUGUUAGGUUUAUUCAAUACGACACGAUCCAUUUAACACAAAAUAAUUUAACACUGUUUGACACAGCUUAACUCAUUUAACACGCUAUAUAAAUAUAAGUGGGUUUAUGGAUCAUAGUGGGUCAAAUAAACGGGUUAACCCGUGACACAACACGAUUCCGUGUCAUAAAUGGGUCCACACGAAUUCGAUACGAACACGAA
rnacentral:misc_RNA from 1 species